GUGCGAGACCGAUAGCGAACAAGUACCGUGAGGGAAAGAUGAAAAGAACUUUGAAAAGAGAGUUAAAGAGUACCUGAAACUGCUGAAAGGGAAUCGAAUCGUUUCCAGUGUCUAUAAUCUGUGGCAUAUUUCAUUGGCGAGUGUGUGCGUGCAUUGUUUUGGAAGCAGUUUUCUGUUCCUGGCUGUGUUGUGCAUUUGCUUGCUGGUGCCCUGUGUCGCGGUGGGACGUCAGAGUCAAUUCGUAAGUUGCGGGAAAUGGCUAUUGGGGAGGUAGGUCACUUCGGUGGCCGUUAUAUCCUGAUAGCUAGUAGUCGUGGCUGGGAUUGAGGUGCCUACAACGCGCUUUCGAGUCUGCGGGCUUCUCGUGUGGCUGUUUGCUUUGAUAGCUUGCUAUGUUGGUGAAUAAGUCGUGCGAUUGAGACCUGUAGUAACUUGUUGCUGUUCGGGACUUUGA
rnacentral:rRNA from 2 species